rnacentral:rRNA from 1 species
CUCGUAGGUGGCCAACUAAGUCAGACGUGAAAUCCCUCGGCUUAACCGGGGAACUGCGUCUGAUACUGGAUGGCUUGAGUUUGGGAGAGGGAUGCGGAAUUCCAGGUGUAGCGGUGAAAUGCGUAGAUAUCUGGAGGAACACCGGUGGCGAAGGCGGCAUCCUGGACCAACACUGACACUGAGGAGCGAAAGCCAGGGGAGCAAACG